rnacentral:rRNA from 1 species
AUUGAACGCUGGCGGAAUGCUUUACACAUGCAAGUCGAACGGCAGCACGGGGCAACCUGGUGGCGAGUGGCGAACGGGUGAGUAAUACAUCGGAACGUGCCCAAUCGUGGGGGAUAACGUAGCGAAAGUUACGCUAAUACCGCAUACGAUCUACGGAUGAAAGCGGGGGAUCGCAAGACCUCGCGCGAAUGGAGCGGCCGAUGUCAGAUUAGGUAGUUGGUGGGGUAAAGGCUCACCAAGCCGACGAUCUGUAGCUGGUCUGAGAGGACGACCAGCCACACUGGGACUGAGACACGGCCCAGACUCCUACGGGAGGCAGCAGUGGGGAAUUUUGGACAAUGGGGGAAACCCUGAUCCAGCCAUGCCGCGUGCAGGAUGAAGGCCUCGGUUGUAAC